AACACAGUUGCUAGGUAAUAUGGUCAGAAUUUGUUCAGUUACAUAAGAAGCCACCACACUGUUUUCUGAAGUGGCUGUACCAUUUUCCAUUACCACCAGCAAC
rnacentral:pre_miRNA from 1 species